rnacentral:rRNA from 1 species
UGGCGGACGGGUGAGUAACGCGUAAAGAACUUGCCCUUUAGACUGGGAUAACAGAGGGAAACUUCUGAUAAUACUGGAUAAGUUAGUAUAUCGCAUGAUAUGCAAAUGAAAGCUACGGCACUAAAGGNGAGCUUUUGCGUCCUAUUAGCUAGUUGGUAAGGUAAGAGCUUACCAAGGCGAUGAUAGGUAGCCGGCCUGAGAGGGUGGACGGCCACAAGGGGACUGAGAUACGGCCCUUACUCCUACGGGAGGCAGCAGAA